rnacentral:rRNA from 1 species
CAGUCGCCGCGGUAAUACGUAGGGUGCGAGCGUUAAUCGGAAUUACUGGGCGUAAAGCGUGCGCAGGCGGUUAUAUAAGACAGAUGUGGAAUCCCCGGGCUCAACCUGGGACCUGCAUUUGUGACUGUAUAGCUAGAGUACGGUAGAGGGGGAUGGAAUUCCGCGUGUAGCAGUGAAAUGCGUAGAUAUGCGGAGGAACACCGAUGGCGAAGGCAAUCCCCUGGACCUGUACUGACGCUCAUGCACGAAAGCGUGGGGAGCAAACAGGAUUAGAUACCCCCGUAGUCCCUGUCUCUUAUAC